rnacentral:lncRNA from 1 species
GAAGAUGAAGAAAUCAACGAAAGACGGUUCUUUGCACGGGCAAGAUGUAGAAGAUUGCUAGAAGAGGGGGAACAAAUAUCCUCUAAGCUAUCUCUCUCUUGUAGGGUAGAAUAAAUCGCUCUCCAAAGUUGAUUUAAUAAGCCACUUAAGGUGGACUUAAAUAGGCUUUGAGAGAAAUUUAUUUCCCUUUCCUAGAAUGAUCUAAUUUCCUAUUAAAGAGAGAAUCUACAUCAAAAUAGGAAGCAGUCAUAAGUUUCCUAAAGCAAGAAGAUCUCUACACCUGCUGCCCUUUUCUGCGAGCAGCCCAAGAGGUGUGGCGGCAUUUGUGGAGCCAAAAAUAAUCACAAGGCGACACGUGGAUUUUUGGGUAAAAAGGACAAAAAUACCCUUGAGGUGUACCAAGUUUCUACGUGCGAGCAGUAGACAAUCAUCCUCAACCAAGUCAAAAAUGCUCCAAAAAAGGUAACCAAUUAUAAAUUAUCUCAUCCAUCCUCAUUUUAGGUAAUUACUUCAUAACCUAUAAAUUGUUCCAUAUAAAUAGAGAUUAAUUGGCUAAUUCAUGAAUUAAUUCCUAAAUUCAUUAAUCAACCAAUUAAAUCACCAAUCAUACCCAAAAAAUACCUCUUUUGGCCGGUUACCCACUCCCCUAAAGGAACCGGCCAUCUCCUUUUAUUUCCUACCUUUUCUACCAUAUCUUUCCUUUUUAUGAUAAUAAUUAGCUAAGAUAAAUAGGGAAUUAUUAGCUAAUUAUUUCACAAAAUCCCAAUUACCACAAAAUAUCCCCAAAUAUGCACUAAAUGGCUGGCCAUCUAUUGCUAGAAAAGGAAUUGGCCAUACUUUGCUUAUUCAUCCCAUUAAUUAACUAAUUCAUUUGGUAAUAAUCCUUUUGCCAAAUUAAUUAGUCAAUUAAUCACAUAACUCCCAAAAUCAUAUUAAAUCAAGAACCCUAUCCCUAUAAAUAGGCUCCUAUUUUCACCAAAAACUAAUUCCAAGACUCUUGCAAAAAAUCCCAAAAUUCUCUAAAAACUCUUUCUCUCUAAAUUCUAACUUUAGCAUCGGAG